rnacentral:rRNA from 1 species
GACGGAGGAUGCAAGCGUUAUCCGGAAUGAUUGGGCGUAAAGCGUCCGCAGGUGGCAGUUCAAGUCUGCUGUCAAAGACCGGGGCUUAACUUCGGAAAGGCAGUGGAAACUGAACAGCUAGAGUACGGUAGGGGCAGAGGGAAUUCCUGGUGUAGCGGUGAAAUGCGUAGAGAUCAGGAAGAACAUCGGUGGCGAAGGCGCUCUGCUGGACCAUAACUGACACUCAGGGACGAAAGCUAGGGGAGCGAAUGGG